GAGCGUAACUUUUCAUUAAACAUCCGAGUAUCCAACUGAUAAUAGAAAACGGAAGGAAACCGAGGCAAGAUUCUGAUUGGAUCGUGGAAUUUCCUUGGUGGAAUAUCAUUUUUCCUCCACAGCUCAUUUCUUUUUUGGGGCAAUACAUCAAAUCACUGGGCUAAAGAACGAGAUAAUGGUUGAGGAAAGUACACGGCGUUUACCUAUUGGAUGCUUGGUGUUCGUGUAAUUGCUAACAAUGAUAAUUAUAAGAAGAAGAAGACGAAUAAGAAGAGGCACAGUGAUGACACUGCCGAGCCUGAAGAAGAAGAAGAAGAAGACUUUGGCGAAGAAUUCAAAAUUUGAAGCCAAGAGGAGGAAAGGAAACCAAGAUACAGAUAAUAAAGAGUUGAAUGAUGAUACUGACAGUGUCAUAAACAAGAAAACGAGCAAUCGGUUUAAGAGAAAGCGAAAAGCAAAAAGUAAGGCAGGGGAGGAGCUGUCUAAUGAAGAUUUAGUCAGCAUUGCCGAAGAGGUGAGGUGAUUCAUUUACUGCUCAAGAUGGAUGUAAUGCAAUGUGGCAUGCCAUGUUUUACAAAUUAAAGAAUUGUUGAAGAAUUUCAUUUAAAACGGAAGCCAUUCUGAUGAUGGAUAGCAUGAUUGUUCAUGCCAACAGAGACUUGUGAACUUGAAUUGCCAUUUCAUCAUAUUUAAUCACAAUUAAGAAACAGAAUUGUCGUUAAAGAUACACUCUUUUCUCGGCUUAAGCGGUGUGUCUGGUGAUUGAUCCCAGGGUAGUAUGUCAAAGUUGAUGAGGAUUCAAGGAAAAAGCAUACAUCAAGUAGAGAACGUAAAUUACAAAGACAACUUACAACAGCAACUUCCUCUAAGCAUGAUUUAGAAGAGUCUCUCAUUGUUCCUGAUGACGAACAUACAUCAGCUAGCUGUGAAACACUGCUUCUUAUAGUUCAACUCUGAAUUUAGUAAGUGAACAAAAUCUCAUUUCCACAAGUAGGACAGGGGAUACUGCACAUGACAUGUUGGAUCUGUUUUUGGGCCCCUUGCUUAAGAAGCUGAUGGAAGAGGACAGAAUUUGUAACAAAGGAUAUGGAUUUUUUUGCAUAUGAGCGGAAAAAGAAAAGUCAGAAUGAUGUUGGAGGAGGAAUGGCGCCCCCGAUGAAGAAGAGCAUUCUCAAAGACAAGGUUACCUUGUUGCUUGACUGAAUGAAAGAUCCAAAUUUCUUAACGGGGAGUCAUCAAUUAUCCGGAAGCCAAAAUAUUGAGAUGCUACUGUGAUACUCUUAAUUUGUUUCCAUCAAGCAAGCAAUCUCUGGAAACUUCCAUCACCUCUUCACUACAGAUGAUAUUUCCCCAGGGCAUUUGGGGCCCUGGAGGAACAAUGAGAGAUGGUGCAUGCACAAGGGAUCUCAGAUGGAUGGUGAAUUGCCUGAUUUUAGAGGUAAAUUAUUAAUAUACUAUUAAUGUAACUGGCCAUGAUCUUUUCUUUUGCGAUUAUUUAUGUUGCUUGAUUGGCUCUUUAUUGGAUGUAAGAACAACUUCUUGAUUUUCACUGCAGUCUGGUAUGAACAUGUGAGUAGGUAAUUAUUUAGAUGGUCACCGUACUGAAUUGAUUUCUUCUUCCCUCGUUAAGGUUAGACAACAAAGCUUGCCUCUUAAUCCUAUUCAGAUCUGCCUCCUUUUCUUUUAGAAAGCAAUCUCUAAAAGGAUAAUUCAACAAUUUUUUGCUGCUAUAAUCAGCACCUUUGAAACAAAGUGAUGGCCUGAGUCUGAGAAGAGUAAAAGUGGGAUUGUGCUCCUGAGAUGAAGCAUAUUUGUAGGAUUUUUUUGAGGGCUAUAGGCAGUUUGGAUUUGAGUGCACUCUAAAUGAUUGGUUGUUGAUAAAGCUCAGGGACAAGGUUUUCACUUUUCAGAGGUUCUAUUCAUCACAAAAGUUGUGAACGGCACCUAGUUGUAGUUCGAUCAUUGUCACCUAAAAGGCUAUGAUUAAUUUAGGCCUUCGCAGUACAUAAAUAAUAAUGGGUGGCAUGAUUCAAGGACAAGCAUGGAGAAUUGGUUUUCGCCUGCUGCUGAGAGAGAAAAGGUGUAGUGGCUUCUUGUGAAGUUAAAGCCACGACGUUCUAUAUAAGUCAUACAUGAAAAGCUUUGAAAGAGCAUUAUUGUUAGUUAACAGGUGCAAAUCAGGGUCGUUUGAAAACGCCAUAUGAAGAUGCUCAAUUUUAGAUUGGCAGAGCCUGAAACUAAUUUUUUAGGUAAAAGUUUCCCACUCUGAAACAAAGUGCAAUACGGAAGCAUGGUCAGGACAAUGCUAGCACGAGCACAGCUGUUACUGAUGUAUAUGGGAAUGUGGUUCAUGUUUUCAGAUAGGCUGUAUCUGUGGUUUGAAACACUUGUGAUUUCCACUUUAGACAUGGUUGUUUGCAGCUAGAAAGUGUUCUAGUCAAAAUCA